UUUUGGUGCUUGAAUUUUAUUGGUUUAUAAAUCUUUUUGAGGAAAAGUGUUUAGGAAUUCAAAAUUUUUGAGAAAGGAGAUGAUUGAGAAUCAUUAUUUUGAGGAGAGAAUUUUUUUAAAAUUAAACGGGCUUAACUUCACAAUGAUAAUUAAGUUAAAUUCAUAUUAACUAUCGUUUUUACUCCACUUUUUGUUAUUUUGACGAUAAAUUAAUAUAUGAUUUCUUGAUGCAUAAAUUCAUCAAAAUUUUGAAAUCAAAAUUGAUUUCUUGGUGAUUAAUUCAUCUUGGUUGUGAGUGUUGGAUAUGAUGAAUGGGUAUUCUCUAAUUGACUAAAAUUCGUCAAAAUUAUUUUCAAUUGUGAGAUUGCCUAAUUAAGGGGGAGUUUUAAAUUUAAAAAGGAGGAGAAAAAGAAACUCCUAUGUUUAAAAGAUGUGGAAAGAGUUACAUCCAAAAGGAGUGUGAAAACUACCACCACAUGUAGGAAAGAGCUACCACCCCGGUCGUCCGGCAAGUGUGUGAAGCUACCACAUGAAGAUUAAAUUGGAUUAGCCGAAAAAAAAAAAGGUUGAAAAAAAAAAUGAAUAUUCUAGAGUUUUUCGGAGUAAUAAGGUGUUAGUUUGAAAAAGAUGCUCAAAGAGCCACCCCCGGUAUCAUAUUGGUUAAAUCUCUAUAUUGAACAUGUUACAACAAAUUGGUGUCAAUUUUAUUGAAUUUCUAUAAAUUAUUUUUCAUCAACUUACAUCUUGAUGGUUUUGAAUUAUUAAAUCAUUUUUGAUAAUGAAAUUUUGAUGUUUUGAUGAAUUUUGAAAUUUUAUAAUAUAUUAUUUUCAUUAUAAUGAUUUUUGGAGUAAAAUCUUUAAUUUAUAUGAAAUUAAUUUAAUUUGAUGGAUUUUUAAAUUCAUAUUUUCGAAAUCUGGCAAAGUGUACCGGUACAAAAUCCCGUGUACCGGUACAAAUCACUGUAGCCGCGGAAAUAUAACCGGUUACAGAGAUUUAUUUCUCACUCUAAUCUAAACCAAAUUUCGCUCUUUCUCUCUCUAAAAAUUCCUGGUGCCUUCCUCUUCCAGAUCUACACGUUUUUCCCCAAAAAUCUGUGAGUAUUUCAUUUGGAUUUAAUUGUUUCAUCGCGUUCAUGUUUAUUUUUCGAAAAAUUUCGUGUUCAUGCAUAGAUCUAUGUUUUUGAUCGUUUUUGAUGCAAUUUUUUGCUGUAGAUCAGUGCUUAAGGACAUUAUCUUGCUUCUAGAACACUUGAAUCACAUCAAAUCACGUUAUUUUUCGCUGAUCCAUGUUCUAAGCUUC
rnacentral:lncRNA from 1 species